GAAGCAGCAAGACAAAAAAAAAAAAACUCCUCCGAGCCGUUCUCUGCGACCGCUCUUUCAUUUUAUUUUAUUUUUAUGAUGAUUUUUUUUGGGGGGGGGGGGUUUGCCCCCCCCCCAUUUUUUUGCCGCCAAGGAGUUAAAGCGGAAGGUUUCUAUAUACUGACAUGGCAUCGGCAGCGUUGCAAAUCGAGGUUUCUCAUCACAACGACGUCGGGGCGACGACGACGACAAGGUCAGAUUUGCCCCUUGACGAAGAGACAAGUUGAGUAAUUUAGAAGCAUACGAUUGGCCGACAUUACUAUGCAAAAUGGGGGAGAGAAUGUUCUACAUGGAAUUUAAAAAUGAUCAAAUCUUUUUUUGAAGAGAAUUUGUGCACAAAUUUCUGGAAUAAUAAUGGAAAACGUAAACUUUUUUCUUUUUUUUUCAAAUUUUUUUCAAGUUUUCGGCAUGAAAAAAAGAGAGGUUUUCUGCUUCAUUAAACCCGAUACCCUGCGAUUCCCAAGGCACGUGCCUAAAUUAGUUGCCUAUUUGCCCAUAUCCCUUUGAGAGCGGCUCCUAUUGAGAAGGGAACAAAGGCCACGACCCGGAGGUCAGAGAGUAACUGGGAAAGUCUGACCUCCCUUUGUCGGCAGCCGCCUCUGUUUAUUUUCCCUAAGUAAAGAUCAGCAAUACAUUAAGUAAAGAGGAUUAGGAAGGUUAUUCCCCCAGGGACGGGAUUCCAACAAGUGGCAAAACAUCACUUGGAACGUUAGGCGCCGGCCUUACACCGACACAGCUCCCUAUAGAGCCUCAAUACAUAGAAUAGGGGAUCUUUAAAAAAUAUUAUCUAAAAAUUCUCCCCUUUGCAAUAUAAAGUAAGAAAUGUAAACAUUUUGAAAAAUGUUUAAUAUGUGAAUGUGAAAAAAACAAAAAACAUCCAAACUUCAUUAAUAUUAAAUUGAAUGUGAAAAAAACAAAAAACAUCCAAACUUCAUUAAUAUUAAAUUGAAUGUGAAAAAAACAAAAAAACAUCCAAACUUCAUUAAUAUUAAAUUGAAUGUGAAAAAAACAAAAAACAUCCAAACUUCAUUAAUAUUAAAUUGAAUGUGAAAAAAACAAAAAAACAUCCAAACUUCAUUAAUAUUAUUUGGAUGUGAAAAAAAACAAAAAACAUCCAAACUUCAUUAAUAUUAUUUGGAUGUGAAAAAAACAAAAAACAUCCAAACUUCAUUAAUAUUAUUUGGAUGUGAAAAAAACAAAAAAACAUCCAAACUUCAUUAAUAUUAUUUGGAUGUGAAAAAAAACAAAAAACAUCCAAACUUCAUUAAUAUUAUUUGGAUGUGAAAAAAACAAAAAAACAUCAAAACUUCAUUAAUAUUAUUUGAAUGUGAAAAAAAACAAAAAACAUCCAAACUUAAUUAAUAUUAUUUGAAUGUAAAAAAAAACAAAAAACAUCCAAACUUCAUUAAUAUUAUUUGAAUGUGAAAAAAACAUCCAAACUUCAUUAAUAUUAUUUGAAUGUGAAAAAAACAAAAAACAUCCAAACUUCAUUAAUAUUAUUUGAAUGUGAAAAAAACA